rfam:Hordeum vulgare subsp. vulgare, WGS project CAJW01000000 data, contig: morex_contig_97898
GAAAUACUCUCUCCGUCUUAAAAUUCUUGUCUUAGGUUUGUCUAUAAAUGAAUGUAUCUAAAUACUAAAAUAUGACUAGGUACAUUCAUAUCUAGAUAAACCUAAGACAAGAAUUUUGGAACGGAGGGAGCAUGUA